ensembl:lncRNA
GGGUAGCCUGGUGGGCUGCCGUCUAUGGGGUCGCACAGAGUCGGACACAACUGAAGCGACUUAGCAGCAGCAGCAGCAGCCGCCGCAGCAGCAGCACGAUAACUUGUCAUAAUACUAAGGCACGUAGCCCACUCCCUGGCCCAACUCUUGCUGACCAGUGGGAAGAGAGACCUGGUUGGAAGGAGGAUUCUCUGGCUGGGGGGUCGAGGCCGGGAAGGAGGCACGUAGGGUCUUAGCUCCCUGACCAGGAAUCGAACCAGCAUCCCCUGCGUUGGGAAGCGAAGUCUUACCCACCGGACCACCGGAGAAGUCCCCCAGAAAGCCGCUCAGCCUGCAUCCACUGCCUCUGUUCACAGCCCAGGGCUCCGCGGUGCCCGAGGCAGACAUUUCUGGCUCUUUCACUCCGGCCCCUCCCCCAUUCCCCCUGUCUCUGGUCAGACUGGAUUCCUCUGAAUCCGUCUGGCUCCCAGAACUGGCUGCAUUUCCCCACCUUGGGCACCUUUGUCCUCGCUGUUCCCUCUCUCUGUUCUCCUUCCCCUAGUCUGGCUGCCUUGCCCAACUCCAGGGGGACCCCUCCAUGGAGAUUUCUGUCCUCAGAGUCCUCUGCUGCACAACCCAAGAAUUC